CAUGGUACCUGGACAUUAGGGGCACAAGCCAAACAUCUAAGAUACACCUGAGUCUCAUGGCCUGACUCACUCCCCUGCCAGUAUUUCAGUUCCUAUCCCUCAGCCAAGAUCCUCCUGCAGCCAGUGGAUCCUCAUCUGCUGGGGUCUCAGCCCAUGAACCCCUUUAACCACAGCACAUGUCCUUCAUGGGCCUCCCAUGUUUGCCAGGCUGAGCAGCCACAGGGGAGAGACCCUUUCCCCUCUGUGUGAGAGAAAAGGCUUCAGAAAGCCUUCACAGCAGUGACACCAGUCCAGCUCUCUUCUAUCCCCUCCCAGAGCUGAGAUGGUGGGCUAUUUCAGCUAAGGGGACCCUUCCCUGGGUGGCUGGCAUCUGGGGAUCUCACAUCUAAGUCUUCAUUUUUUCCUGUGUGUCAGUCAAGUGAAACUAAUCACAGAUGCUUUUUAAAGUAGUAGAUGCUAUCUCACCAGAGACUGUCUCCUUAAUUGUGUUGCUGGUUGACAGCCUGCCAGGGCCUCUGCACCUCGUCCAGGAGUUAAUAUUUUAUCUAGAAGUUCAAGGGAAGCUCACUGGAAAUUGUGCUAGCCUUGAAAUGCCAAAGGUAACUUGCAAAUAUUUCCUUCCGGACCCUGAAAUGUUGCUAGUAGAAACGUAUUUUCUGAAAGAAGAUGGCUCCAGACCUAGGCUAACAGCUGGGGAGAUUAUUCAUGGAAAUCAGUGCCCUGAGGCUCUGUAUCACUUUCAUCUGUCUUUCCAAAACCCCCCACCUUUAUGGAGACCAAAUGCAUCACUCUUCCAGGGAGGUGAAAUGAGAGCAGCUCUCCAGCAGAGGAAAAUGUGCUCAUCCUGAAAAGGUUUCUUUGUUCUCAUUGCACGGGAUCGUUUUUCUACUGUGCAGCAGAUUUAUGUGAGGAACAGCAGUGGCAGAGGGCAUAAUGACUCCAUUUUGUUUAAUAAUUAACUCACAUGGUCUCCGGGUGCCACGCGUUCCAGCAGACGCUGCAAGGCAGUCAGGCUGUGCCAGGGAGAGAGCAAAGCAGCAGGUGGGCAAUAAGGAAUAACCCAUUUCUCCUCCUGCUCACUGAUGUUGUACCCUGAGCACUUCUGGGGUCUUCUUACCUGAAGUGUGCUGUCCCAACAGCUCUUAGAGCUCUGCAGGCUCAGAGGAUUUUACCAAAACAACUGAUACUGCGGCAAAUUUUUUCGAUGGGGAACAUGUAGCAACUAUUUCAAAGAGCAAAGCCAAACUACGCAGCAAGAGUGAAUGGAAGCCAAAAUUCAUCUCAUUGCAUUUUUCAGGUGCCAUCAAGAAGUUCUGUCUUUCAACUCAUCACUGCUCGGUUUGCAAAUGGCCAGGAAAUGCUUUACAGUGAAAAGAUACAUGCUUCAGGAGAAUUUGCUGGAAACUUUUCACCAAACUUUUCUCAAAUUUAUUGCCAGCUCCUCAGAACCAGAUAAUUUUUGGAGAAAAUAUGUUUUCAAAGAACUUGCCAGUUUGAAAUACUACUGAGGGAAUCCCUUUUCUCGGUAUCAUAACAUUUAGACAUUUUUUUAAAAGAAAAAAAUUUCACUACAGAUAUAAAAUACUUGGUUGUUAAAAGCCAGAAGGCUAGAUAUAGUAAAAUGGUUCUAAAAAGACCAUUUUAAGAUUAGUGAAAUAAAAUAUUUCAAAAAGGCCUUCCUUUCCCCUAGCAAAAUAUCAGUUGUUUGAAAGGUUAGAGAUUUUAACUUUUUCUCCAAAUAUAAGAUAGGCCUCUUUCCACAGUAUCUCAAACCUUUGGGAAAUGAGAAAUCCAUUUCCUGCUCAGAUUGACUUUUAGGAAAGCAGAAAACAAUAAAGUAGAAUGGAAUUUGGCUGGGAAAAAGCCCACAAAAAUCUCAACCAGAAUCCUUUCCUUGAGUGAAAACAACCCUAACAUUUUGAGAGACACUUGCAGUCAAAGCUGAGGCAGCUGUAGUUUUAGCAGCACUUCCCUUCCUGACCAAACGCCUGAGAUGCCAUCAAGUCCACAUUGCCUGGGACCUGAAUUCUGUUCCUAUAUCUCUGUCUAUUUUAAGGCAUAUCCCAUACAUGGUCCUUUCAGCUCCUCACAGUCAGGAAUGUGGCUCUUCCUGGAAACCACCUGCUCAGGGAGACAGCUGGGCUUUUAGUGAGUGUGAGAUCUACGCUGCAGCCCCUCCCGGGUGGGUUGAGGUGUCUUCCUCACAGGGUUUCACAUCCUCAGCACUCAGUACAGAGCAAAAAUGUGGGAGGCACUUUGGUUUACACAAUUACAACUUAUUACCAGCCCUCAGGCAUCAGAUCAUGGUUCAGGUACAACCUGACACCCACAUUCUCCCCACCUGCCUGACACGAGCUUCCUUUGCAGGCCUCCUCUGCCCUCUGCACUCAUCAGGCCGUGAGUCCUGCUGAUAGCUGGGGCCAGGUGACUGCUGCUCCAUGUCCUGUGGAGGCUGCCAGCCAAGCUUUGUCACCCUGCCUCUCCAGUGGUCUGAAAUGACCUUCAAGAGACUGGCUGCAAGGUGAAAGUACACUAGCAGGUUGAAGCUGGUCAUUCAACAUCCAGGGAUUAGAGCAAAUCGGCAAACAAAGCUGGUUUGAUUUGUCUGCAAGACAUCCUUGUCUAAAAGUCAGGUCUGUAAGCCCCAAAGCAGAAGCUAAGAAGAGCCAAGGGCCAAGGUAACCCAAGUUCAGAGGACUGGAGGACUAUCUACUGGGCUGCCUGGAACAAGGAUAAGAACAGUCAGUCCCACAGAAAUUCUUUAUGAUGGCAUCAUCCUUGGUUCAAAGAGGGAGAGAAAAAGUCCAAACCACCUUGGUAAUGGACAAGUUCCAGAAAAGAUCCUUGAAAAUCCUCCCCCAGCUGAAUGUUCUAGUGGUUCCUGAGAGCCUUAAUACAGAUUUUAUCUGCCCUGUGACUGCUGAAUUGUAUCAUGUUCUUUUAUUUACCUGCUGAGUACCUCAAGAACAGACUGCACAUUGGCACCCCAAGAUCAUCAGGUGGUUGCUUAAUUUCUUCAGAGGAGGGUUGAGUGAUCUGGGAAGAGGAAAGUAUGGAGGAUCUCAAAAGACCUCCACUCCCUGCUUUUUGGUUUAGCAGCACCACAUGCCUCCUGCAAUGCCAGGUCUGUAAAGGUGGUGCCCAAGCUCAGGGCAUAGUGAGGAAUUAUAGCUAAAGUUCUCCCUCUUCAGUCCUUGAACAUGCAAAGGGUGGCUCCACAAUUCCUCCCAGGGCCAUCCAGCUCAAUGAUGUGUGACUAACACUUUCAUUGACCAAAGACCAACCACUUCCCUCAUGUGACCUUACAUAACUGUUCAUCUAUUUCGUUAAUGAAUGGAGCUUGAGAAAAUUUCCAUUGCCCAAAGCCCUUAGGGGAAAAUGCGUGAGCACCGUCUCCACCUUUUGUGUGCUGAUGUGAGAUUUUCCUAUGGAUUAACAGAGUACAGUAGCAUUAUUUUUUGGUUGCUGUCAUUGGUAACUGAAAUGGUAAGCUGUCAGGUGCCAAGGGGGUGGGAAAAAAAAAAGUCUCUGCCUGAGCCAGAGGAAACAGGAGACUCCCCCUGCCAGGAGGAGCAACAGGGAUGUCAUUGCAUCACCAGUGUGGUCAGGGACUGUACCUAUUCCCAGGCAAAAGCUGCUCUGUUUACUCAGCCCUGAGCUGAGCCAAAACACCUCCCAGCUUCUCCUCACUCCCUGCACAGAUCCAGCACUGCCAACCUGCUGGUAUCCUAGGGCCCAGACCCAGUCCUGGGGCUGGAAAACAGCUCUCUCUGGCCUGCCGUGGUCAGGAUGGAGCAGUCGGAUGCUGGGUUGCAGCAGAGAGGGGUGAUAUGCUCCUCUCAGCUAUAUUGGCACGUCAGAGGUACCCACCCCUGCAUCUACAGCAGGUAGGAAAGGGAAGAAAUAUGGGAAUACCCCAGUAUUUCUAAAAGCCCCUACCAAUGCUUCAGAUUUUACCAUUGUUACCACUUCACUGUGGAGCUGCCCAAGACAGAAAUUAUUUCUAUCGUAAAAGUCCUUCUGCCAGUGGAAGACUGGGUAUGGGAGAGCUCAACACCUCAAUGUCAUGCAAAGGUGCUUGCAAGUGCUAGAGGCACACUACUUUCAGAAAUAAGAUUCAUGUUGUUCUCUGAGGAUGUACUUUGGAACCAAGGAAUAUUUUGGAUGUGCAGUCUGGGAUCCCCAUGGUGUGGGCUAUAAAUCUCAUGGAUUAGGAAUGUUGCUGAAGCUAAGAAGAUAGCUAGGUUGAACAAGACAUGACUGGACAACCAUGAUGGAUGGAAGUGGCAGCACUGAAAUAAUGGAGGAUGCUCCUUUUUCAGUUUAUGGGGAGAAAAUGCAAAUGUUGUUCAGGCUUCUGUAAUGCCUGGUCCAAGUGCAAUGAUAAGUAAAUAUUUAACUGCAGAAAGAACAUUCCCUUCCAGAGACUUAAGCAGCCAAGUUAAUCAGUUCCAGACUAUAUUCAAGUCAUGGGUGUCAAGAGGACAAUACAAGUUCAAAAACCUCGAGGAUGUUCAAAGUCUGCUAUGACACCUCAGCAGUUGCCAUGUCUUCCCUGAGAUGCUAUAAAGGAGGAUAUUUUCACCUGCUGAGAAAGCAGGAUGAUGAACUCACUUAAAGACAAGCUUCAUAGGAUGGGGGAAGAACUGAAGAUGUGGCAGACAGGAGUUUGAAGAGCUGCUUGUUGCAUCCAGAUGGUGCUUCAGAAACUUGGGAGAUAAGGCUGCUGCAGCAGCUGGACUGGGAAAGCCCUCAGGCGGGUCUGGAGACAUUCCCUGCCCUGGCAGCCCAUGGGAUGUUCACCAUCAGGGCUGAUGACAGAAGUUGCCACUGGUAGAAGUUCUCAAGCUUUGGAAAGUGCUCAGUUUCUGCCAGACCCUUCUCUUACACAACAUAUUUCCAGUUGUUCUUUUAUCCAAGGAUAGUUUGUCCUCAUCUGUCUCUCCCUUACAAAGCCAGUCUGUUCCCUUCAGAGAUUAUACAGAGAAGGUUGUCAGUACUCAUGUGCCUAAUAAAACAAGUUCCUACA